AUGUUGGCUCAGAAGCAGCCACCAUUUAAAGAGUGCGUAAUAGCUCACUAGUCGAGUGGCACUGCGCCGAAAAUAUACCGAGGCUAAGCAUAAUACCGAAACUGUGGGUGCACCCGUCAGGGUGCGCGGUAGGAGAGCGUUCUAAGGGCGUUGAAGGUCGAUCGUGAGGACGGCUGGAGCGCUUAGAAGUGAGAAUGCCGGCAUGAGUAGCGAAAGAUCAGUGAGAAUCUGAUCCACCGUAUGACUAAGGUUUCCUGGGGAAGGCUCGUCCUCCCAGGGUUAGUCGGGAUCUAAGGCGAGGCCGCAAGGCGUAGUCGAUGACAAGCAGGUUGAGAUUCCUGCACUAGUUUAUUUUGUUUAAGCGAUGGAGGGACGCAGGAGGCUAAGGAAAGCGCACGGCUGGAAAAGUACGUCCAAGCAGUAAGUCCGGUAGCGAGUGAAAUGCUUGCCGCCUUAAGGACAAGCUGUGAUGGGGAGCGAAAUUAAAGUAGCGAAGUUCCUGAUGUCACACUGCCAAGAAAAGCUUCUAGUGAGAAAUAAACUACCCGUACCGCAAACCGACACAGGUAGUCGAGGAGAGUAUCCUCAGGUGAGCGAGCGAACUCUCGUUAAGGAACUCGGCAAAAUGACCCCGUAACUUCGGGAGAAGGGGUGCUGACCGCAAGGUCAGCCGCAGUGAAUAGGCCCAAACAACUGUUUAUCAAAAACACAGGUCUCUGCUAAAUCGUAAGAUGAUGUAUAGGGGCUGACGCCUGCCCGGUGCUGGAA
rnacentral:rRNA from 1 species